AACGCACAUUGCGCCCGCUAGUAUUCUGGCGGGCAUGCCUGUUCGAGCGUCAUUUCAACCAUCAAGCCCUAGGCUUGUGUUGGGGCCCUGCGGCCGUCCGCAGCCCCCUAAAAACAGUGGCGGGCUCGCUAUAUACCGAGUGCAGUAGUUUACUCUUCGCUCAGGACAUGUAGUGGGUUCUUGCCGUAAAACCCCCCAUUUUUUAAGGUUGACCUCGGAUCAGGUAGGAAUACCCGCUGAACUUAA
rnacentral:misc_RNA from 3 species